AUUGAACGCUGGCGGCAGGCCUAACACAUGCAAGUCGAGCGAGCGGCGGACGGGAGAGUAAUGUAUGGGGAUCUGCCCGAUAGAGGGGGAUAACUACUGGAAACGGUGGCUAAUACCGACUACUAUCGGCUGAACCCAUAUGGGAUUAGCUAGUGGGUGGGGUAAAGGCUCACCUAUGCGACGAUCUCUCGCUGGUCUGAGAGGAUGAACAGCCACACUGGAACUGAGACACGGCCCAGACUCCGACGGGAGGCAGCAGUGGGGAAUAUUGCACAAUGGGCGCAAGCCUGAUGCAGCCAUGCCGCGUGUAUGAAGAAGGCCUUCGGGUUGUAAAGUACUUUCAGCGGGGAGGCGUUACCCGCAGAAGAAGCACCGGCUAACUCCGUGCCAGCAGCCGCGGUAAUUC
rnacentral:rRNA from 1 species